UAAGGUGGUUAUUGCGGCGGGGCUCACCUCUUCCCAUUUCGAACAGAGAAGUUAAGCCCGCCAGC
rnacentral:rRNA from 1 species